rnacentral:rRNA from 2 species
GCAGUCGAGCGGUAACAGGGGAAGCUUGCUUCCCGCUGACGAGCGGCGGACGGGUGAGUAAUGCUUAGGAAUCUGCCCAGUAGUGGGGGAUAGCCCGGGGAAACCCGGAUUAAUACCGCAUACGUCCUACGGGAGAAAGCAGGGGAUCUUCGGACCUUGCGCUAUUGGAUGAGCCUAAGUCGGAUUAGCUAGUUGGUGGGGUAAAGGCCUACCAAGGCGACGAUCCGUAGCUGGUCUGAGAGGAUGAUCAGCCACAUCGGGACUGAGACACGGCCCGAACUCCUACGGGAGGCAGCAGUGGGGAAUAUUGGACAAUGGGGGCAACCCUGAUCCAGCCAUGCCGCGUGUGUGAAGAAGGCUUUCGGGUUGUAAAGCACUUUCAGUACGGAGGAAAACCUUAUGGUUAAUACCCGUGAGGCUUGACGUUACCUACAGAAGAAGCACCGGCUAACUCCGUGCCAGCAGCCGCGGUAAUACGGAGGGUGCAGGCGUUAAUCGGAAUUACUGGGCGUAAAGCGCGCGUAGGUGGUUUGGUAAGCGAGAUGUGAAAGCCCCGGGCUUAACCUGGGAACGGCAUUUCGAACUGUCAGACUAGAGUGUGGUAGAGGGUAGUGGAAUUUCCUGUGUAGCGGUGAAAUGCGUAGAUAUAGGAAGGAACACCAGUGGCGAAGGCGGCUACCUGGACCAACACUGACACUGAUGUGCGAAAGCGUGGAGGAGC